rnacentral:rRNA from 1 species
GCUGGCGGCGUGCUUACACAUGCAAGUCGAACGAACCUUCGGGUUAGUGGCGGACGGGUGAGUAACGCGUGAGAAUCUGCCCUCAGGAGGGGGACAACAGCUGGAAACGGCUGCUAAUACCCCAUAUGCCGCGAGGUGAAACGAAUUUCGCCUGAGGAUGAGCUCGCGUCUGAUUAGCUAGUUGGUGUAGGUAAUGGCUCACCAAGGCAUCGAUCAGUAGCUGGUCUGAGAGGAUGAUCAGCCACACUGGGACUGAGACACGGCCCAGACUCCUACGGGAGGCAGCAGUGGGGAAUUUUCCGCAAUGGGCGAAAGCCUGACGGAGCAACGCCGCGUGAGGGAUGAAGGCCUCUGGGCUGUAAACCUCUUUUAUCAAGGAAGAAGAUCUGACGGUACUUGAUGAAUAAGCCACGGCUAAUUCCGUGCCAGCAGCCGCGGUAAUACGGGAGUGGCAAGCGUUAUCCGGAAUUAUUGGGCGUAAAGCGUCCGCAGGCGGCCCUACAAGUCUGCUGUUNAAAAGUGGAGCUUAACUCCAUCAUGGCAGUGGAAACUGUUGGGCU